rnacentral:rRNA from 1 species
AAUAUUGGACAAUGGGGGCAACCCUGAUCUAGCCAUGCCGCGUGUGUGAAGAAGGUCUUCGGAUUGUAAAGAACUUUAAGUUGGGAGGAAGGGCUUUAGGUUAAUACCCUGAAGUUUUGACGUUACUAUCAGAAUAAGCACUGGCUAUCUCUGUGCCAGCAGCUGCGUUAAUCCAGAGGGUGCAAGCGUUAAUCGGAAUUACUGGGCUUAAAGCGAGCGUAGGUGGUUCAGUAAGAUGGGUGUGAAAUCCCCGGGCUUAACCUGGGAACUGCUUUGAUAACUGCUGAGCUAGAGUACGGUAGAGGGUAGUGGAAUUUCCUGUGUAGCGGUGAAAUGCGUAGAUAUAGGAAGGAACACCAGUGGCGAAGGCGACUACCUGGACUGAUACUGACACUGAGGUGCGAAAGCGUGGGGAGCAAGCAG